UAGGACCUGGCCGAACCAAAUAAAUAUUUAAAAAAAAUGAUUAGGGUCAUGUUCCUUUUUUGAUUUGUAAAAACAUUAAACAAAGGGAAAUCUAUCUAGUCACUCUUCUGCUUUCUGUAGUCAUUAUUUAUGAUUGAUGACACAAGCUUUUGGCAAGCACAGAUAGGGGAAAUUCAAGGUCAAAGAUAAUAUACUACCAUAAACAGGGACUCAUGCUUAUGGGCUAUGUUCAUGUGAUCAAGUUUCACUGGACUAAUCCUGCCUUUUUAUGACCUGUAUGGGGCCAGCAGAUAUUCUGAGAUAUGGCUCUGGCUUUGUUUCAAGUGCCUCUAUAGGUGAACUUUGAAAUUCUCCUAUGGCUUUAUGAAUUCUGCACUUAUGUUGUUCUUUGGGGGAGGGAGGUGGUAAAGGAGAUGCAGGAAUAAAGGGGAGACUUUGAUAUAAUGCAAUAACAAAUAGGGCUUAGGUGCCUCUCCAUAACUUGGCAUUCAAGGCCAAUACACUGGAGUUGUUUAGAAAAAAACGUAGUAGUUCCCAGGGAAGGGAAAUACAAUUUGAUGAAUAUAUAUGGGGAAGACCCUUCCCGUUGAUGGCUAUGAUGUUGUUCCACUCAUCCUCUAGGCCCUGGCCUCAUAUUCUUACUCCAAAUUGACUGGCAGAAAAGUGGUCAUAAUUGUUCGAAUAUAACCACACCAUGCUUUGGAUAUUUUAGCUGCCUUUCCUUGGCUUGUGUCCCUCUUGAGGUGCAGUAAUCAUAAGGAUACUUACACCAGUUUCAUUUCCAAAAAGUAUCAGGCUGAGUAAAUCAUAGGUUUACACAGGUUCUAGCCAGAACUGGCAAAAACUUUUGACUCCCAAAGUUCUGCCGUAUCAGUGUACUAAAAACAGUUCAGUAAAAUGAGGCAGUAGAGGUAGUGAGAAGAUAAGUCAGGCCAAUAAGAAAAGAGGAAAUGGAAAAGACCUUAAAAAUCACACACACAGAGUUCUCCCCAGACUAAAUGUGGCAGGUGAUAGGAGUUGAUAGGGCACUUGCUACAAUUGCAGGUUUAUAAAGACAGAACUCUGGAGAAUAACUGCCAAAACCCCACCACCAUCACUACCACUACCAUCAAAAAAAGUAAAAAAGAAAGAAAGAAAACUUAGAUUUUAUCCUUUUAAAACUCCUUCAAUAAAACUAAGGCUACCAUUUUCUCUUCUAACUUUGUGCCUUUGUUGAUAAUAAAAAUAAUUCCAAGGGAUCAUCUACAACAACAACAAAUUCUCACUUGCUUUUCUUUGUGUCAGUGGUUGGGUUGAGAUGAGAAAGAUGUUGAUAGACCUGGCAGAGAAUUAAUUUAGUGAUUACUUGCAGAUUUCAAUAUUAUUUUCUCUUUCUUCACCAUAUACCAAAGUGAGCUCUACUGUAAGCAGAUAGUGUAGGGAGUCCCCAGAGAAAAGAGCCAGAUAUAGCUUUUUGAUAUAAGAGAAGCCAUUUUAGGCCAAAGCCAUCUUGUCAUCUAAGCCUGGCUACCAUGCUUGCCCUUGAAAAGGUCUCAGUAAUAAUGACCUUAAGGGAACAUAAGAACAAAUGACUGUUUAUCAGGCAAGAGCAGUAACAACAGCAAAGAUAAUAAACCAGUUGCAGGAUUCCUUGAAAGCACUUUUUGUGGAAAGAAACCAACCUAUGCACAGUCUACAUAUUCAAAUAAUAAGCAGAGUCUAUGUGGCUGUAUUACUCAUACAUCAGACUAAUGGGAUGCAUCAAAAGUAACCAACUUCCAGAGACACAAAGGGGAAAACGACUUCAAACACUUACACUUAAAGGGCCUUCAUUUAUGAAUGGCCAAUGAUCUAGGCAAAUAAGAAAUGCUCCAUGGACUGACAAAUUUUUAGAAGAAUAAAAGAGCAGCUAUAAAUUAGUGAGAGUAGCUCUUUUACAUAGAAGUUCUUGGCUAAGAAUACCUAUUUUAGUAAAAAAAGACGAUAACUCAGGAGCUGCCCUGAGAAUCUCUUUCUAACUAUCCACAGAAAAGACAGAAAGCAAACCUGUGAUUCGAUUCUAAUCAGAAUAAGACGAAGAAAGGCUUUGCUUCCGGAUACUGGUUCAAGGUCACCCCCUUCUACCGUAAAUUUUAUCUUUCCCUAUGUCCACUCCACCUUAUUAAGCUGCUCAGGCUGAGCAAAGGAGAUGAGAAGCCUGUUUGUCUUGGAGGAACUGAUUACAUGGAGAAUUAUAUGUAUAAUAAUGGAGGGCUAUCAUUUUUAAGAGAAAGCAUGCUAAGGACAAACUCAAUUUUUUAAAUACCCACUUUCCAAUCUCUAAAUCAUCUGUGCCUUCCAGGCAAACAUGAAUGGACCAAGCUACUACAAUAUAAGAAACAGGAGGAUUGGUUCAAGAUGGCGGAGUAGAAAGACGUCACUCCCUCUUGUGAGAGCACUGGAAUCACAACUAACUGCUGAACAAUCAUCGACUGGAAGACACUGGAACUCACCAAAAAAGAUACCUCACAUCCAAAGACAAAGGAGAAGCCACAAUGAGACGGUUUUUCUGCUGAGCUACCACAAUGUAGUGUGUUUCUAGACCUAACUCCACAUGAAGGACAGGCCUCGAUUAAACAAGAAUGGCUGCUUAUUUUACAGCUGGAAAACUGAGCAUGUCUGGUGAGGAAGGCAAAAAGAAGAAUCAACAGCAGAGGCAAACUGGAACAAGGAGAGGAACGGACUUAAGAAUCAGAGACUCUUAAGAGUAUGGUAUAAAUUGUUACCUUUAGAGAAGUCAUUUAAUUUUAUUCACAUUCAGUCUAGAACAUUUAUUUUUCUCAAUUCAAAAUUGAGAUUAUAAUCAAAAGGAAAACUGGACUGAGGUCACUUAAAAUAAAAAAUUCUAUUUCCUACUGGGCUAAGUACAAACUUGUUAGCUUGGCCUUCAAGGUAUUUGACAAAUAUGGCCCUGGUCUCCUUUUCAACUUUAAUCCACUAUUUCCCUAUGUAUACUGUUUAAGAUAACAGUAAACUAUUAGCAAACUAUUGCACAGAACUCUCUUAACCAGUUUAACUGAUCACACAUUAGCUAGGCUAUUCUCCAGUAUCAUGGGAGCAACACUUCUGCUCUCCCUCUCAGUGAAAUUAUGUGCUUAUUGAGGGUAUCAGUUGUGUUUAUUCAGAAAACAAUUUAUGCCAAUUGUGUUUAUUAUUCUAAAUAUAUAACUUAAUAAAGUAUUACAUAAAGCAAUGAAGUAUAAAUGAGAAGAGGAAAACAACAUCAGCAGCUAAUAUUAACUGAGUACUUACUACCUGCCAGGCACUGUUCUAAGUGUUUUAUGUGAAUUAACUCAUAUAAUCUUCAUAAGAACCUUGGGAACUAGAUACUAUUAUUGUCCCUAUUUCACAAAGGAGGAGACUGAACAACAUGCCCAAAGCCUAUACAACUCAAAAUUGGCAAAACAAUUUGGCUCCAGAGCUUUAACUACUAUGCUAUACAAGUUGAAAGCUUAGGAAAGACUAGAUAAAGAUACACAUAACUAUGCUCCACUCGACCUUGUAUGUGAAAGUAGCCACAGAUAAUACAUAAACAAGUGAGCAAGGCUGUGUUCCAAUAAAACUUUAUUUACAGAAACAGGCAGCAGGCUAGGACAAGAUUUAGCCCUCACACUGUAGUUUGGAGAUCCCUGAGACCCACACUCCAAGAAAAGGCUUAUGUCAAAAGAAUGGCAAAAAGAUGUUUUAAGUUUUAAGUUAAAAUAAAAUGUUUAAG